CCUACGGGUGGCUGCAGUGAGGAAUAUUGGUCAAUGGGCGCGAGCCUGAACCAGCCAAGUAGCGUGAAGGAUGACUGCCCUACGGGUUGUAAACUGCUUUUAUAAAGGAAUAAAGUGAGUCACGUGUGCCGUUUUGCAUGUACUUUAUGAAUAAGGAUCGGCUAACUCCGUGCCAGCAGCCGCGGUAAUACGGAGGAUCCGAGCGUUAUCCGGAUUUAUUGGGUUUAAAGGGAGCGUAGGUGGUUUGUUAAGUGAGUUGUGAAAGUUUGGGGCUCAACCGGAAAAUUGCAAUUGAUACUGGCAGCCUUGAGUACAGGUGAGGUAGGCGGAAUUCGUGGUGUAGCGGUGAAAUGCUUAGAUAUCACGAAGAACCCCGAUUGCGAAGGCAGCCUACUAAACUGCCACUGACAUUGAUGCUCGAAAGUGUGGGUAUCAAACAGGAUUAGAUACCCGAGUAGUC
rnacentral:rRNA from 1 species